rnacentral:rRNA from 1 species
UGUCAACUAGCUGUUGGCCUCAUUAAAGGGGUUAGUGGCGCAGCAAACGCGAUAAGUUGACCGCCUGGGGAGUACGGUCGCAAGAUUAAAACUCAAAGGAAUUGACGGGGGCCCGCACAAGCGGUGGAGCAUGUGGUUUAAUUCGAUGCAACGCGAAGAACCUUACCUACCCUUGACAUACAGUGAAUUAAGCAGAGAUGUUUGAGUGCCUUCGGGAACACUGCUACAGGUGCUGCAUGGCUGUCGUCAG